rnacentral:lncRNA from 1 species
GGAUGCUCUCAAGGGCCGCCUCAAAAAAAGGACUUUCAUUUGGUUCAGCGGUCCACCAUCGCAAUAUGGUGGACAGAUGCCCGCGUGCAUAGGAGCUUCCUGGGAACGAACCAUUUUGCAGCAGAAGGUGGCCAGAAGCCUGCACAGCAGCCAUUGUCCCCACACAAAGUGGAAGCAUAGAGAGUCUCUUCCAGCACUACAGUGCUGCCCAAAGCCCUUCGGAAGAGGAAGCGAAACAGGCCGCCCAGAACACCAGGCUUUUGGCUGUCCCAGAAGACAUCCAAGUUGAGGCGAGGGCAGAAAAAAAUAACAGAGAAGUCAUUUUCAUUUCCAAA